UACGUAGGGUGCAAGCGUUGUCCGGAAUUAUUGGGCGUAAAGAGCUCGUAGGCGGUUUGUCGCGUCGAAUGUGAAAACCCGGGGCUCAACCCCGGGCCUGCAUUCGAUACGGGCAGACUAGAGUUCGGUAGGGGAGUCUGGAAUUCCUGGUGUAGCGGUGAAAUGCGCAGAUAUCAGGAGGAACACCGGUGGCGAAGGCGGGUCUCUGGGCCGAUAUUGACGCUGAGGCGCGAAAGCGUGGGGGGCAAACAGG
rnacentral:rRNA from 1 species